AUUGAACGCUGGCGGCAUGCCUUACACAUGCAAGUCGAACGGUAACAGGUCUUCGGAUGCUGACGAGUGGCGAACGGGUGAGUAAUACAUCGGAACGUGCCCGAGAGUGGGGGAUAACGAAGCGAAAGCUUUGCUAAUACCGCAUACGAUCUCAGGAUGAAAGCAGGGGACCGCAAGGCCUUGCGCUCACGGAGCGGCCGAUGGCAGAUUAGGUAGUUGGUGGGAUAAAAGCUUACCAAGCCGACGAUCUGUAGCUGGUCUGAGAGGACGACCAGCCACACUGGGACUGAGACACGGCCCAGACUCCUACGGGAGGCAGCAGUAGGGAAUUUUGGACAAUGGGCGCAAGCCUGAUCCAGCAAUGCCGCGUGCAGGAUGAAGGCCUUCGGGUUGUAAACUGCUUUUGUACGGAACGAAAAGCCCUGGGUUAAUACCCUGGGGUCAUGACGGUACCGUAAGAAUAAGCACCGGCUAACUACGUGCCAGCAGCCGCGGUAACAC
rnacentral:rRNA from 1 species